AGAAUCAACGCUGGCGGCGUGCCUAACACAUGCAAGUCGAACGAGAAAGUGGAGCAAUCCAUGAGUAAAGUGGCGCACGGGUGAGUAACACGUGACUAACCUACCCUUGAGUGGGGGAUAACCUAGGGAAACCUGGGCUAAUACCGCAUAAUACCUUCGGGUCAAAGGAGCAAUUCGCUUUAGGAGGGGUCGCGGCCGAUUAGUUAGUUGGCGGGGUAAUGGCCCACCAAGACGAUGAUCGGUAU
rnacentral:rRNA from 1 species